UGGGGAAUAUUGCACAAUGGGCGCAAGCCUGAUGCAGCCAUGCCGCGUGUAUGAAGAAGGCCUUCGGGUUGUAAAGUACUUUCAGCGGGGAGGAAGGGAGUAAAGUUAAUACCUUUGCUCAUUGACGUUACCCGCAGAAGAAGCACCGGCUAACUCCGUGCCAGCAGCCGCGGUAAUACGGAGGGUGCAAGCGUUAAUCGGAAUUACUGGACGUAAAGCGCACGCAGGCGGUUUGUUAAGUCAGAUGUGAAAUCCCCGGGCUCAACCUGGGAACUGCAUCUGAUACUGGCAAGCUUGAGUCUCGUAGAGGGGGGUAGAAUUCCAGGUGUAGCGGUGAAAUGCGUAGAGAUCUGGAGGAAUACCGGUGGCGAAGGCGGCCCCCUGGACGAAGACUGACGCUCAGGUGCGAAAGCGUGGGGAGCAAACAGG
rnacentral:rRNA from 1 species